rnacentral:rRNA from 1 species
AUUGAACGCUGGCGGCAUGCCUUACACAUGCAAGUCGAACGGUAACAGGUCUUCGGAUGCUGACGAGUGGCGAACGGGUGAGUAAUACAUCGGAACGUGCCCGAUCGUGGGGGAUAACGAGGCGAAAGCUUUGCUAAUACCGCAUACGAUCUACGGAUGAAAGCGGGGGAUCUUCGGACCUCGCGCGGACGGAGCGGCCGAUGGCAGAUUAGGUAGUUGGUGGGAUAAAAGCUUACCAAGCCGGCGAUCUGUAGCUGGUCUGAGAGGAUGAUCAGCCACACUGGGACUGAGACACGGCCCAGACUCCUACGGGAGGCAGCAGUGGGGAAUUUUGGACAAUGGGCGAAAGCCUGAUCCAGCCAUGCCGCGUGCAGGAUGAAGGCCUUCGGGUUGUAAACUGCUUUUGUACGGAACGAAAAGCCUCUUUCUAAUAAAGAGGGGUCAUGACGGUACCGUAAGAAUAAGCACCGGCUAACUACGUG